rnacentral:rRNA from 1 species
CCUACGGGAGGCAGCAGUAGGGAAUCUUCCACAAUGGACGAAAGUCUGAUGGAGCAACGCCGCGUGAGCGAUGAAGGCCUUCGGGUCGUAAAGCUCUGUUGUCAGGGAAGAACAAGUAUCGGAGUAACUGCCGGUACCUUGACGGUACCUGACCAGAAAGCCACGGCUAACUACGUGCCAGCAGCCGCGGUAAUACGUAGGUGGCAAGCGUUGUCCGGAAUUAUUGGGCGUAAAGCGCGCGCAGGCGGUCCUUUAAGUCUGAUGUGAAAGCCCACGGCUCAACCGUGGAGGGUCAUUGGAAACUGGGGGACUUGAGUGCAGAAGAGGAAAGCGGAAUUCCACGUGUAGCGGUGAAAUGCGUAGAGAUGUGGAGGAACACCAGUGGCGAAGGCGGCUUUCUGGUCUGUAACUGACGCUGAGGCGCGAAAGCGUGGGGAGCAAACAGGAUUAGAUACCCUGGUAGUCCACGCCGUAAACGAUGAGUGCUAAGUGUUAGAGGGUUUCCGCCCUUUAGUGCUGCAGCUAACGCAUUAAGCACUCCGCCUGGGGAGUACGGCCGCAAGGCUGAAACUCAAAGGAAUUGACGGGGGCCCGCACAAGCGGUGGAAGCAUGGUGGUUUAAUUCGAAGCAACGCGAAGAACCUUAC